GUAAACCGAUCGAGUGUACCAAAU
rnacentral:siRNA from 1 species